UACGGAGGGGGCUAGCGUUGUUCGGAAUUACUGGGCGUAAAGCGCACGUAGGCGGAACAGAAAGUCAGAGGUGAAAUCCCCAGGGCUCAACCUUGGAACUGCCUUUGAAACUCCUGUUCUUGAGGUCGAGAGAGGUGAGUGGAAUUCCGAGUGUAGAGGUGAAAUUCGUAGAUAUUCGGAGGAACACCAGUGGCGAAGGCGGCUCACUGGCUCGAUACUGACGCUGAGGUGCGAAAGCGUGGGGAGCAAACAGGAUUAGAUACCCGCGUAGU
rnacentral:rRNA from 1 species